rnacentral:rRNA from 1 species
GACGAACGCUGGCGGCGUGCUUAACACAUGCAAGUCGAACGGAAAGGCCCUGCUUUUGUUGGGUGCUCGAGUGGCGAACGGGUGAGUAAAACGUGAGUAACCUGCCCUUGACUUUGGGAUAACUUCAGGAAACUGGGGCUAAUACCGGAUAGGAGCUCCUGCUGCAUGGUGGGGGUUGGUAAGUUUCGGCGGUUGGGGAUGGUCUCGCGGCUUAUCAGCUUGUUGGUGGGGUAGUGGCGUACCAAGGCUUUGACGGGUAGCCGGCCUGAGAGGGUGACCGGCCACAAUGGGACUGAGAUACGGCCCAGACUCCUACGGGAGGCAGCAGUGGGGAAUAUUGCGGAAUGGGCGGAAGCCUGAUGCAGCAGCGCCGCGUGCGGGAUGACGGGCUACGAGUUGUAAACCGCUUUCGCCGGUGACGAAGCGUGAGUGACGGUAAUGGGUAAAGAAGCACCGGCUAACUACGUG